rnacentral:tRNA from 1 species
CAAAGUAAAGCUGGAAGAAAGCAUUUCAUUUACACUGAGAAGAUUCUCGUGCAAAUCGAGUUAUUUUGA